rnacentral:lncRNA from 1 species
ACUUCUGAAGUUAGCAAAGAGCAAAAAAUCUCGAAAAUAUCGAAAGGAUCAACAUCAGCUCCAGAAUCAGCAAAGAGGAAGAUAACAACUGUAGCAGCUCUAAUAUAUACAUAUACAUCUCUGUACACAAAUGCAAGAACUUCUGAAGUCAGCAAAGAGCAAAAAAUCUCGAAAAUAUCAAAAGGAUCAACAUCAGCUCCAGAAUCAGCAAAGAGGAAGAUAACAACUGUAGCAGGUCAAGACAAAGCACUGAUUCAGUCAUACAACAAAGAGAUAGUAGACAAACAUAAUACAUCAAAUGAAUCAGAUCUUGGGCAAGUCUCAAUUAUUACUGGAACACCAAAAGCAUUCCAGCCAAGUGAAUUUGAGUAUUCAAUGCAGUCAGCUGUCAAUACAACAAGAGGAGAUAAUAGAUCAGCUGACAUAAUCAUGCAGGGUGAUCAAAAUGGUGAUUCAGAUGAUUCAGAGAAUGAACAAAAUCCAGUAGACCCAUGGUCACUAGAUAUUUUAAGUAUGGCUGCAAAUGACAAGGAGCAAACAACAAUGGAGUUGUUUUGUUGCAGGAGAAACAAUGGAGAGUCUGAACAAUGGGCUAGAACAGAACAUAGAAAAGGGCACAAAUGA